GUCCCAAGGUGGCCUAGCUGAUAUUCUGGCCUGCAAAAUGAUCUGGUCCAGCCCUCUUCUGGCUUGGUCACAGAAUGACUGAUCCCUGAAUAUCUGCACACCUUUUUGAGUAAGUGCAUUCUGCAUGUUGCUGAUAUGGAGAGAAGCCCUUAUCUGGAUAACCUGCAGAGCUGGCCUGAGGGGGGUGGAAACACUGGUGCUUUUCAAAUUUCUGUCUUGCUUAUACUUCGAGACCAGAUUGACACCUUCCAACUGUACAACUCAUGAA